UACGUAGGGUGCAAGCGUUGUCCGGAAUUAUUGGGCGUAAAGAGCUCGUAGGCGGUUUGUUGCGUCGGCUGUCGAAAUCCCGGAGGCUCAACCUCGGGUCUGCAGUCGAUACGAGCAAACUAGAGUGUUGCAGGGGAGACUGGAAUUCCUGGUGUAGCGGUGAAAUGCGCAGAUAGUCAGGAGGAACACCGGUGGCGGAAGGCGGGUCUCUGGGGC
rnacentral:rRNA from 1 species